rnacentral:rRNA from 1 species
UACGUAGGGGGCAAGCGUUGUCCGGAUUUAUUGGGCGUAAAGAGCGUGUAGGCGGCCAGAAAAGUCCGCUGUGAAAACUCGAGGCUCAACUUCGAGCUGUCGGUGGAAACUUUCUGGCUAGAGUCCGGAAGAGGAGAAUGGAAUUCCUGGUGUAGCGGUGAAAUGCGCAGAUAUCAGGAAGAACACCCGUGGCGAAGGCGGUUCUCUAGUACGGUACUGACGCUGAGACGCGAAAGCGUGGGGAGCGAACAGG